UAUCACACACACAUACGACAAAGCUAACUCCAUAAAAACUAAUCUAGACCGAAACAGCCUAAUAUCCUGACCCGAUUUAAAACCUAUUAUAGGGUCAUAUCAUCACGGAUAUUAUUUUUGAGAUUCAUCCUCAAAUUAUAAAAAUAAUUAUACUGAUCAGAUUUUACAAAAAAAUUUUGAAAAAAAAUAACUAUGCAAUGUUCAAUCCAUUGAAUCAGAUCUC
rnacentral:lncRNA from 1 species